rnacentral:rRNA from 1 species
GUGGGGAAUCUUCCGCAAUGGACGAAAGUCUGACGGAGCAACGCCGCGUGAGUGAAGAAGGUUUUCGGAUCGUAAAGCUCUUUCGUUAGGGACGAACGUGCUCUUUGUGAAUAAUGAGGAGUAAUGACGGUACCUAAAUAAGAAGCCACGGCUAACUACGUGCCAGCAGCCGCGGUAAUACGUAGGUGGCAAGCGUUGUCCGGAAUUAUUGGGCGUAAAGCGCGCGCAGGCGGGAUAUCAAGUCUGUCUUAAAAGUGCGAGGCUCAACCUCGUGAGGGGACAGAAACUGGUAUUCUUGAGUGUCGGAGAGGAAAGUGGAAUUCCAAGUGUAGCGGUGAAAUGCGUAGAGAUUUGGAAGAACACCAGUGGCGAAGGCGACUUUCUGGACGAUGUCUGACGCUGAGGCGCGAAAGCUAGGGGAGCGAACGGGAUUAGAUACCCGGGUUGUCC